UACGUAGGGUGCGAGCGUUAAUCGGAAUUACUGGGCGUAAAGCGUGCGCAGGCGGUGAUGUAAGACAGGUGUGAAAGCCCCGGGCUUAACCUGGGAAUGGCCAUGGAAACUGGCGAGCUGGAGUGUGGCAGAGGAGGGUGGAAUUCCGCGUGUAGCAGUGAAAUGCGUAGAGAUGCGGAGGAACACCGAUGGCGAAGGCAGCCCUCUGGGCUAACACUGACGCUGAGGCACGAAAGCGUGGGGAGCCAACAGG
rnacentral:rRNA from 1 species